AAGACCAGAAAUCUGUGAAGUUUCAGUUGCCUGAGGAUGAUUUAGAUGGAAGUGAUGAUGAUUUUGAUGAUGAGUUCGAUGAUGAAUUUGAUGAUGAGUUUGAUGAUGAUGAAGAUGAUGAGUUUGAUGAUGAGGAAUUUGGUCAUGGACAUGGCCAUGGGAAAGGGAAUCAUCAAAUGCAAAACAAGAUGGUAGCUAUGGGGGGAAAAGGGCCAAAUGGCAUGAUUAAUGGUCUUGCCAUGAAUGGUAAGAAAGGAGGUGGUGGUGGUGGUGGGGAUAAUGGUAAGAAAGGAGGAGGUAUUGAUAUGCCUAUGUUAAUGAAAGGCAUGGGGGAUUUUGAUGGUGGGAAGCAUGGUAAUGGAGGAAAGAAAGGAGGUGGUGAAAAGAACAAAGGAGGGAAAGGAAACAAUGGGGAAGGAGAUAAAAAGAGUGGU
rnacentral:lncRNA from 1 species